GUUGAAACACCGGUUCCCGUAUGAUCACCGAAGUUAAGCAACGUCGAGCCUGGUCAUAACUUGAUGGGUGACCAUUUGGGAAUACCAGGUGCUGUAA